rnacentral:rRNA from 1 species
UAAUGAGUCCCCUAGGUGUUGAUUUUAGCUGGGGUAGUUAUUUUAAAAAAAUUAAGAUGUUAUACGACAUAUAUAGAUGGAGAUUGGUCCUGUUUAUACGGAAAGUCAGUUUGAGUUACUUUAGGGAUAACAGCGCAAUAUUUUUGGGGAGACCAUAUUUAUAGAGAAGGUUGCGACCUCGAUGUUGAAUUAGAAGUUCUCUGUGGGGCAGAGUAUACAGGGGAGGGUUUGUUCAACCCUUAAAUUUUUACAUGAUCUGAGUUCAAAC